CUGCUCGCUUCGAGAGCACAUACACCAAAACUGAAAUGACACGUAGCAGAUUAGCAUGGGCUCUGUGCAAAGAUAACAUGCAAAUUCAUGAACUGUUCCAUAUUUAA